AUCAUUGACACACAUCCUAACCGAUGCUUGUGCCAACAAGCAGACCCAGCGAACCAAUCUCCUAUCACUUGAGGGGCUGCAUCGCGAGGUGCAGCUGUCGGCGGCCGGGCCCUUGCUUUAGGGGCCGGAGUCCUUGCUGGGCUUGCCGUUGCGGGCAAGCUCCGGCCGCUUGACGGGAGCCGCUCGUGGAUCUCGCACAAGGGAGAGUGCGGGGGCGGCGUUUCCCACUCCAGCUACCCCCUCCGGGGCAGCUGCGCAACCAACCACCAAACACUAUGCAACAACCGACUGAAGACCGAUUCUUUGCGGGCCCUCUCGGGGGCCCUGCUUCGGAUCAAAACCAAACUAAAGACAACUCUCAACAACGGAUAUCUUGGCUCUCGCAACGAUGAAGAACGCAGCGAAAUGCGAUACGUAGUGUGAAUUGCAGAAUUCCGUGAAUCAUCGAAUCUUUGAACGCAUAUUGCGCCCGCGGCCUCGGCCAAGGGCAUGCCUGCCUGAGCGUCAUUAUAACACCUCACAACCCCUAAUAGGGUGCGUGGAUCUGGCCGUCCGGGCUCUCGAGUCUGGUCGGCUGAAAGGCAGAUGCAAAGCCAGCAGCCCAUUCAACGGCAAGGCGUGGUAGACCGCAUCGCGGGGCGAUCGUCUUGCCGGGGCUGAUUGCGGCUUUCGCAUUAGCAGGAACCGCCGCUUCCCAAGCAAACUUCGGUUUGUGAAGGAGCGGCCUUGACCCAUUGACCUCAGAUCAGACAAGAUUACCCGCCGAAUUUAAGCAUAUC
rnacentral:rRNA from 1 species